ACAAACUAUCUCAAACAGCUGACGUGAGGUGAUAACAGUGCUGUAAAACUUGAUUUGAUGUGUGAAGUCAUUCAAAAGAUGUUAAAGGAUCUUAAUAAGUAAUUAUAUAAGUAAUUUAAUUUGCAGUGUAUAUAAUAGUGUGGGGUUGUGUGCACACGUUACAAUGUGAUCAUUUAGAGGAGUUUCUAGAAGGGCUCAAUAAGCAGAUAGCUGUGUUUUGGGGGGUUUUCAUGGGGCCAGAAGUUACGAUGCCAACCAUGCAGACCGAAUAAUAUAAGGAUUGCACUGGUCAGACACUCUGCCUUGGUAAUUGAUCCCAGCAUGUAGAUAAUAAUGCGUAUGUUCUCCUUUGUGCAUUUUGAUAGUCUUGUUAUUUGCUUUCAUCUAGUUUGUAGACUUGGUUCUGCAAUAACAAGUGUUAAGGAAACCAGGGCCCUGUACUAUAUAGCAGGAUUCAGGGUAACAGCUAACAGUUUCACUCUGGGUUUCUGAUAUUCUCUUAUUACCCAGUAAAUUGCUAAGAUCAUUUAUGCUGAACUUAAAACCUCCUCUAGAGAAUGUGAUGUUAGAAAUAAGAGAUCAACUCACAGCAUCUAUCAGUAAGUGGAGCUUUCUUGUUCGGUAGUUAAUAUUACACAAAUACUAAGUGGUCAAAGUCAUAAUCCUGACCAAGUAACACAGUUUAAACAGAUUCUAAAACAGACUUCUGGCAACAAAUCACUGUCUGUGCUAAUGUGUGUCAAUUUAUAGAUUCAUUAUAUCACUGCUUCAUCUAGAUCCCGAUAAGGUUGGCUAAAACGACGUGUGUGUGUGUGUGUGUGUGUGCGCAGUUACUUUCAGGCUGAAUAUAUGUUUAAGCCUCUCCACUUUUGUCAAAUAUUAUAGUUGUGCAUUUAUAUGUGUCGCUUGGCUGACAGCAUACUUGUCUGGGUUUUCGAUUUAAAGCUGGGAUUCAGAGUUGGUGAUCGGAAAAUUGAUUACAACUAUGGUGGUGAUUCACAAUGGCCAUUGCGUCAAAAGGUGACAAACUAUGAGGCCCCUGCUGUGGCUAUAGAGACAGAAGACACCCUUUCAAAUCUGUCUUCCCAUGAGGAAUCCAAUGGAGAGGAAGCCAUAGCCCAGAUACCACUAUGGUAGAAAUGGAUGUGUCAGAAGAUGACCGUGUGACAUCCCAGCAACAACGUCCACAGUGUAUCCCCAAAACCGCCCAAAAAAGUAAUUGGAAAGAAAAGGUAAACAAACUGCUAUCAAAAGAACCUGGACACCGGAGGAAGCGGCAGCGGUGAACAGGCAUCUACGGAGAUGCAUUACCAUGAACAGUGUUCCAGGCAAAGAGGAGUGUCAACAGUGCAUUAAUGCAGACCCUGAAGCUCUCCGAAUGCGAGACUGGAAGGCAUAUAGAAUCACUACUUUGAGACGAAAGUAUGAGUGUGAACUUGCUGAUGCACCAUCAUAUUGACAGUGUUAACAGUCUCUUCUUGUGAGGCCUCUUUGUAGGCAAUGAUAAAGUUAAUCUUGUCCCAGUGACUUUUAUUUCUGAACUCUGAACAAUUGUCCAAUGAGUAACUGAAACUAUUCCGCGCCCCCACAAUCAAACGCCUGCAUGGGGAGAUUUUAGCUUUUACUUUACUAAGUUAAUAAAGACAAGAGAACAUAUUAUGUGUUAAGGAGUUUAUUUUAUGCAAUGUCGUUUGAGAAAUGGUACUAGGAAAGCGUUGAGUAGUGUUGAGCUGUAGUUCAUUAUAUUAAUGAAAUUUUAAUGCCCCAUAUACCUUAUGAUGAUCUUUGGUUACAAUGACAUCGAGCCCUACAAUGUCUUUGAUAAGCAACAAAAAAUAUGUAAACAUGUUAUUUCAAUCAGAAGACAUUGUGUCUUGCGAAGAUACAAAGUCUAGAAAUGGUUGUCUUGCUAAGAUAUUAAAACUAGGAUUGUGUAUGUGUGUGUGAAAGUGGGACUCGCAAGUUUUGAAUGUUAGAAACAGAACCCCACAAAGUGACAAAAAAACUAGCAAGAGAAAAAAAGUUCUGAAUUUUAACAAAUUAAAGUGAUGGUAAUUAUAUAGAUUUUUUUUUCAUCUUACUGGAUUUUUUUCAGUGUUGUAGCACUGCCAGAAAGGGUGGAUCCCACAUUUGGGUAAAAUAAGUUCGGGCCCUACAAAGGAGGAACACGAGUAUGUGUGUGUGUGUGUGUGUGUGUGUGUGUGUGUGUGUGUGUGUGUUUUCAU